AUGAGCGACGCACCCGGCGCAGCAGCCUCAGCUAUGGGCAGCGGCAGGGAGCUCGCCAACCCGCCGUCGGACGGCAUCUCCAACCUCCGUUUCUCCAACCACAGCGACCACCUCCUCGUUUCCUCCUGGGACAAGACGGUUCGGCUAUACGACGCCGAGGCGAAUCUGCUCAAAGGGGAGUUCGCGCACCCCGGGCCUGUGCUCGACUGCUGCUUCCACGACGACUCCUCGGGGUUCAGUGCUGGCGCCGACCACACCGUGCGGAGAUUAUCAUUUACUUCGUCAAAGGAGGAUGUUCUGGGGCGUCAUGAUGCUCCAGUUCGCUGUGUGGAGUACUCUUAUGCUGCAGGACAAGUCAUAACUGGCAGCUGGGACAAGACAAUUAAAUGCUGGGAUCCCAGAGGAGUUAGCGGACCAGAGCGUACACUUGUUGGGACAUAUGCUCAACCAGAGCGUGUAUAUUCUAUGUCACUGGUAGGAAAUAGGUUGGUUGUUGCAACAGCAGGAAGACAUGUCAGUAUUUAUGAUUUGCGCAAUAUGUCUCAACCUGAGCAAAAAAGGGAAUCGUCUUUGAAAUAUCAAACACGCUGCGUCCGAUGUUUCCCCAACGGAACAGGGUAUGCUCUAAGUUCUGUCGAAGGACGAGUGUCUAUGGAGUUCUUCGACCUGUCUGAGUCUGCACAAUCUAAAAAGUAUGCUUUCAAGUGUCACCGGAAAUCUGAGUCUGGCAGGGACACUGUUUAUCCUGUCAAUGCCAUUGCAUUCCAUCCAAUAUACGGCACAUUUGCCACUGGAGGCCAUGAUGGAUUUGUGAACGUGUGGGAUGGCACAAACAAGAAGAGAUUGUAUCAGUACUCAAAGUACGCGUCAAGCAUUGCUGCUCUGUCGUUCAGCAAGGAUGGGCAUCUGCUUGCUGUGGCAUCAAGCUAUGGUUACGAAGAGGGAGAGAAACCCCACGAGCCUGAUGCAAUAUUUAUCCGUGGGGUGAAUGAAGUGGAGGUUAAGCCGAAGCCCAAGGCAUUGGCCGCACCCCAGUAG
rnacentral:rRNA from 1 species